UAAUACGGAGGGUGCAAGCGUUAUCCGGAUUUAUUGGGUUUAAAGGGUGCGUAGGCGGUUAUUUAAGUCAGUGGUGAAAGUUUUCGGCUCAACCGGAAAAUUGCCAUUGAUACUGGGUAGCUAGAAUAUGGUUGCUGUGAGUAGAAUGUGUGGUGUAGCGGUGAAAUGCAUAGAUAUCACACAGAAUACCGAUUGCGAAGGCAUCUCACAAAGCCAUCAUUGACGCUGAGGCACGAAAGUGUGGGGAUCAAACAGGAUUAGAUACCCUGGUAGUCCACACUGUAAACGAUGAUAACUAGCUGUUGGCGAUACACAGUCAGUGGCCAAGCGAAAGCGAUAAGUUAUCCACCUGGGGAGUACGACCGCAAGGUUGAAACUCAAAGGAAUUGACGGGGGCCCGCACAAGCGGAGGAACAUGUGGUUUAAUUCGAUGAUACGCGAGGAACCUUACCCGGGCUCGAACGGUGCAGGAAUAUGGCAGAGAUGUCAUAGCUAGCAAUAGUCUGUAUCGAGGUGCUGCAUGGUUGUCGUCAGCUCGUGCCGUGAGGUGUCGGCUUAAGUGCCAUAACGAGCGCAACCCUUGUCGUUAGUUACCAUCAAGUAAAGUUGGGGACUCUAGCGAGACUGCCACCGUAAGGUGUGAGGAAGGGGGGGAUGACGUCAAAUCAGCACGGCCCUUACGUCCGGGGCGACACACGUGUUACAAUGGUAGGUACAGAGGGCCGCUACCCAGCGAUGGGGUGCCAAUCUCGAAAACCUAUCUCAGUUCGGAUCGGAGUCUGCAACUCGACUCCGUGAAGUUGGAUUCGCUAGUAAUCGCGCAUCGGCCAUGGCGCGGUGAAUACGUUCCCGGGCCUUGUACACACCGCCCGUCAAGCCAUGGAAGCCGGGGGUGCCUGAAGUUCGUUACCGCAAGGAGCGACCUAGGGCAAAACUGGUAACUGGGGCU
rnacentral:rRNA from 1 species